rnacentral:misc_RNA from 1 species
UAAUUCCCUUACUGAGUAACAACUAACAGGAACUCACACCAAUAAAAGAUAGAUUGCUAGUGGAAAAUACCCAAGAACACACACAAAAUAGAAAAUAGAGAGAAAAAAAUGAACACAAUAAUUUUUAGGUGGUUCAGCAGUGAGUAUGACCAUGUUCAUGUAACUUUUUACACUAUUGAGAAUGAGAACAUUAUAGUCCUGUGUAUAUUGAUUUAAUCCUUGUGCACCCUGAAUUCCUAAUACAAAUAGGAUUUGUAUAACCACCCCAAUAAUGAAAAAGGCCCCUAGGAACAUCAACAUGAGAGGCAUUCUACCUCUUGUUGUGGAGCUAAUCCCUUUGCCGGUGGCUUUACUUAACAGUAAAUUUCCCUCUUACUAAUAUGCGCCAUAACUCAACAAUGUUUCAAUGUAAAAUCAUAUAUAACUCAACCAAAAAUAGAUUCAACCUUUC